ACGUCUUUAGCUCAGUUGGUAGAGCUCUGGUUUCCAAAACCAGCUGUCGUAGGUUCAAGUCCUACAGGACGUG
rnacentral:tRNA from 1 species